rnacentral:lncRNA from 1 species
AGGGGGGUGCCAUUUUUUGGAGGGUCCCAUGGACUUAAAAACACUGUGAGACACACAUACAAUGUGGAGACCCAGCAGGUCUCAUGUGAUUGUCCCCAAUCAGAGGAGAACGCACUUGGGGUAUAUAGGAACAGGCUCCCCUUCAAACCCUAGACUUCUACUAUGCCACCAAGACUACAUAAUAGAAGGAAGUAGAUGGGUCCAGCCAGUUACCCAGCUGGGCAAGUUUAAGCUAUACCCACAAGUUUUGUAGGUACCUAUCUUCUGUUUCUGUGCUUUCCAUUAUGUGAGGUUGACAGGUUAUCAUCUGUAACCUUCCCCUUUUAAUUCACUCCAUAGGUAACCAUUAGCUGCUCUCAAGGGCACAACAAUGUUUUGGGUCCUGUGCCUACAGCUUAGCAUGGCCCCCAAUUCCCACAAGUUAUGACUGUGGUGGAGUCAUAUCAAGGCUUUGAUUGCAUUCACCUGCACUUACACAAAUGCAAAGAAGGGUAAAAAAAUCAUGGCAAGGGAUGUCAAGAUCCAUGGUGUAGAGAGCCUCUAUUUUAUGACAAGAAGGAUGUGGUGAUGAAUUGUGAACAUGGUUGUGGAGGGGAGAGUGAAGUUUUGAGGGAGGUUGCAUUUGUGCCUUGGCUGCAGUGAGUGUUCAUGUUCAAUUUGACACAGGUUACUGAAAUACCACAAAAGAAUAUGGAAGCCAAUAAAUUUUAAGGUUUGUUGUCCUGGAGUGAAGAAGAAUGGGUUACAACAUUUGGAAUGCAUUUAUUGAUAUAAAUGGUAGCUAACAUUGUAUCCCAUGAAACAUUUUUCAUUGAAUUUAUCACUUGGGAAACAGUCCCAUAUAUUUUUAUCUUUUUAUUACAAAGUUAAGUAAAUAACAAGACAUAUGAAAUGAAUAGACAUAGUUGCACAACUCAAUAAUUUUAUCAGAAAAAUGGAUCCCAAAAGGCUCAACUUCUGAUCAGGAUUCUUCCAAACCCUGAAAAGGAAAAUACAUAUAAACCACCCAUGAGUUAAUGUGCAAGACAUGAUUUCUCUCUACAUUUUUUUCUUUAUUCUCUCUUAAACACUUUUGAGGAUUUUGGUCCAAAGUUUCAGGAGACCAGUCCCUCCCACGUUGCCAGACACUCCCAUGCAUUCACUUCAUGUGUAACUCUAACAACCUCACAAACUCUUUUCAAGACAGUGCUGUGGUGAGUUGAGUUAAAGGUUAGAGUGCAAAUGUAUAUGCAUGUGCAUGUGUAUACACACACACACACACAUAUAUAUAUACACAUACACAUACAUGUGUGUGUAUUCCAAAAUUAUAAACUGUUGUUACAUAUAAAAUUUAAAAAUAAUACACAAAAAAUUCACAUUCCGUGUAUUCAUUUGCAGAAGAGUGCAAAUUUAACACAAAAACAGUUAACCCAUGUUGACUCAUACAAAUCAUAAUUGUCACAAGGCUAAUAUUAAGACAUCCAAAAUCAACAACAUGAAUGCUCCUCCUCACUAAAUAUUUGCAAAAGAGUGCAAAGACCACUUGAGGGGCUCAUCCCCUUUGCGAGGACUUUUACUGAGAGGACAUAGUAUGCUUCUGAUGUGAUCCUCUUUAUCCAUUGGGAAAGGGUUUGCACGUGAAACAGCAGUGCUUGGGAACACUGGCACUCUGGAAUAAUGGUGAUUUGUCACUAGCACUUCUAACAGUGUUUUCAC